GUUGUUUAGUCCUUAAACCUGUUCGUGAUCAAAUGAUACGUUGUUACCAAGGACAACAAUGUUUAUCAAGCAUAGAUCAUUGUGUGCCAUAUGGGUUGGUUGUCCUCUUAACCAAGGAGUGUGGAGACACUGGUAUGGCAUACAGGUGAGAUGUAAGGGUACAUCUGCACUGAACGUGACUGACUCCGGAGCUAUUUCUGCU
rnacentral:lncRNA from 1 species